CCAGCAUAUUCAUGGCCCCGUUGGAGAGGCCACGGCAGGGGGCAGAUGCAAAUGGAUCUAAUUCUGCCUGUAAUGGUAGUUAGCACCCCUCUUUCCUCACAAAGUGUUGUAUUCAUUUCUGUAAGCAAUCUCUUCUCAGUAUAUCAUCCCGCCCUCAGCCAGUAAGUCAGCAAAACCUCUGCGUAGUGACUCACUGGAUUCCCAGCCCAAGCCUGACAAUGGGCUUCUCUGGGGAGAUCUGGUAAGAGAGAAUGUGGAAAAAAAAAUGGACAAAUCCCUUGGAAUUUCCCUAUUGAGGUCAGAGAGAAGCUGGGAAUGGAUUUCUGUUGAGAGAGCUGAGCCCAGGGCUGCUGCCACUAGACUAGGCUCCCUCCUUGGACCUAGGAAAAUGUCACUUCACAAAGUUUAAUGGAAGUCCACUGCUUUGUAUGCAGAAAAGGCAUAGGAAAGAAAAGCUGAAGUGUGAAGCUUAUAAACCCAAGGAUGGAGACACUCUUUGUGCGGUGAACUGUGCUGUCUCCUGAACUACAUACAAGGCACAGCUGUCCAAUACAACAUCAAAGUCUUGCUGAAGACAUAAGACUCUCCACUCUGUAGUCACCAGGAAAAAUGACAAACCAGGAAUCACAAAGGUCCCCAGUUCCUGCUGUGGGUGCCAAAAAAACUGACAUGAAUCUGGAACUCAUGGCAGCAAUACCUCAGAGGCUCAUCUUUAGCAAUUCCAGACCCUUCCAGUCCACAGUCAGGUCAUUCUUUUAUUUAUUUAUUAUUAUUAUUUUUUGAGAUGGAAUCUCGCUCUGUUGCCCAGACUGGAGUCCAGUGGUGCAA
rnacentral:lncRNA from 1 species